CCUAAUCCUUUAACCCUUUUUAUUUUUUCUUUUGAGACAGGGUCUCACCAAUUUGCUUAGGGCCUUGCUAAGUUGACGAGACUGGCUUUGAACUUGCGGAUUCUCCUGCCUCAGCCUCCUGAAUCUCUGGGAUUAUGGAUGUGCGCCACCACGUCCAGCUAUAUCCUUUUUCUUUGAAUAAACUAUACCUCCAAAGUGUCCUUGAUAGCCAAGUUAAAAUAUAGAAAUCUCAGAUACUUUGUAUCUCAGAUACAGCAAAACAUGGUGAAGUUGGGGUGCAGGGUAGAGGAGAUGGGCAGGAGGGAGCCAGUCCCAAUCUAUGGCCUGAUCUACCUUGUCUUCCCACCCCCAGCUCUUUCUCACACUGCCUGAACCUCAUCUGCAUACUCACAGACACCUCAGUUUGUGUGUCUAUAUCUGGCCUCAAAGCAGCCACCUCUUUGUUGUAUUCAAGCCUAAUGAAAAUAUGGCAUGUGUCAGGAUAAAGGACAUGGGAAAGAGGCCCACACAGGUCUUCAUACUCUGGAGAUGGGUUUGAGACUAUUUGGGCAUGGAAUUGUUUGUUUCUUUUUUUCUUGAUAGCGGGGACACAGAUUAGAAUAGCAGUCAGAAAACCAUGCUCAUGGGCCAAAUCUGGGCUCUCCACCUGCUUCUGUAAAUAAAAUUUUAUUGUAAUGUAACUGUCUUAGUCCAUUUUCUGUUGCUAUAAUUGAAUAUCACAGACUGGGUAAUUUAUAAAGAAUAGAGGUUUAUGUAGCUAUAGUUCUGGAGGCUGGAAAGUUUAAGAGCAUGACUUGGCAUCUGACUCACAUCUGGUAAGGGCCUUCCUGCUGGGUCAUGGCAUGGCAGAGAACAUCACACAAGAGCCAAAGGCAUCCGUAAGACAGAGACAAACUGGAUUUUUAUGAUAGAUCUAUUCUUGGGAUAACCCAUUAACCCAAUAAUCUAUGAAUGGACUAAGUCAUUCAUGAAUGUGUUUUUAGGAAAUACACAAUAAAGUGUUAAGGGUAAAAUGAUAUGACAGCCACAAUUUAUUUUCAUGCAAUGAAAUAUGUCCUCAAACCAGUAGUGCUCAAUAAUGUUGCAAUCGUUGCUGAAGUGUAUUAGUAUGUAGUUAGGCCUAUCAUGGUUGGGUCUAUACUGAAUGUGUACAGACAUUUAUUUUUUUUCUUAUAAGUAUUUCCUAAACAAUGUAGUAUAAGAACUACUCACAUGGCAUUUAUGCUAUAAAUGAUUUAAGGUAUAUGGGAAGAUGUAUGUAGUUUAUAUACAAAUACUAUACCGUUUUAUAUAAGGAACUUGAGCAUCCUCAAGUUUUGGUACAUGCAGAGGGUCCUUUAACCAGUCCUUCUGUGAUACAGAAGGAUGACUAUAAUAAUAUUAAAAAUGAAA
rnacentral:lncRNA from 1 species